CAGCAUCUGCCUCACUUCCCCUCAGGCCCCAUGGGCUGCUGGUCAACCUCAGGAUCUACUAAAGAUGAUGCAAACGCUGACUGAACAAUCUGAAACCCAAAGGACUCGAGGAGAGACAUGUUCUGCUGGGGAGAAAAAGCAGAUUUCCUGGUGGUACAAACAUCUAUAUCCAGUGGCCUUCAAGGCAAACCCCAGGUGUGCAAUCCCAGGGAGGAACCCAGCUCCAGGGCACCAAGAACACCCAGCUACUCAGCAGUCUCCCUCCACCAACGACCUCAGGGCAUAUGGAGACAGCAGAAGCACCCGAAGAUUCCAGCCAAGGACUGCAGGGGUGCCUGGUCCAAACCAGAGUGUCAGUGAGCUGUGUCUUUCCUAACACUGUUACAAAGCGCAAGGAUGGGACCUCCCAAGGAUGCAGGUCCUUGUGGGGAGUUCAGAGAUCUUUCACCUACCUUGUCUCCUGGGAUCAUCACAACAACCCUACGAGAACCCCAAGAGAAAGCAACAUUCACCUUUAAGUGCAUUACAGAGUGGCCAUUAACCCACUGAAGACCCGCCACCCCAUUAACUCUCUAGAGUGGAGUUGCUCCUGCCGUCUCUGUUUAACAGAAGCAUAGCCUGAGAUCCCGAGACCUCAAGGUAAAUGUCUGAACCCCAUCACCUCAGGUACAAACGUUUAUCUCCUUACUGUGUAAUCAAAGGAAGACACCAAUGUAUUCGAUAUCGUGGAGGCUAAAGACACCUCUGUUCCUACUCCAGUCCCAAACGUCUGUGCACAUCAGGACAGGCCUUACCAUUCUCGGUCAUUAGCUUUUAAGUAAAUGUUAACACAUUUGAACAGAACACCUUAUGCUAAUGAGAUACCACCUGUAACUGU